GCCGGGCAUGGUGACUCAUGCCUGUAAUCCCAACACUUUGGGAGGCUGAGGCAGGCGGAUCACCUGAGGUCGGGAGUUCAAGACCAGCCUGACCAACAUGGAGAAACCCUGUCUCUA
rnacentral:SRP_RNA from 2 species